rnacentral:misc_RNA from 1 species
GAAAUGCGAUAAGUAAUGUGAAUUGCAGAAUUCAGUGAAUCAUCGAAUCUUUGAACGCACAUUGCGCCCCCCAGUAUUCUGGCGGGCAUGCCUGUUCGAGCGUCAUUACAACCCUCAGGCCCCCGGGCCUGGCGUUGGGGAUCGGCGGAAGCCCCCUGCGGGCACAACGCCGUCCCCCAAAUACAGUGGCGGUCCCGCCGCAGCUUCCAUUGCGUAGUAGCUAACACCUCGCAACUGGAGAGCGGCGCGGCCACGCCGUAAAACACCCAACUUCUGAAUGUUGACCUCGAAUCAGGUAGGAAUACCCGCUGAACUUAAGC